UUCCAGACUCCUACGGGAGGCAGCAGUGAGGAAUAUUGGUCAAUGGCCGGAAGGCUGAACCAGCCAAGCCGCGUGAAGGACGAAGGUGCCAAGCAUUGUAAACUUCUUUUGUCAAGGGACAAAAUCAGGCUCGAGAGCCUGACCGAGGGUACUUGAAGAAAAAGCAUCGGCUAACUCCGUGCCAGCAGCCGCGGUAAUACGGAGGAUGCGAGCGUUAUCCGGAUUUAUUGGGUUUAAAGGGUGCGUAGGCGGAAGGUUAAGUCAGCGGUCAAAUGUCGGUGCUCAACACCGGCCUGCCGUUGAAACUGGUCUUCUUGAGUGAGCGAGAAGUAUGCGGAAUGCGUGGUGUAGCGGUGAAAUGCAUAGAUAUCGCGCAGAACUCCGAUUGCGAAGGCAGCAUGCCGGCUCCACACUGACGCUGAGGCACGAAAGCGUGGGUAUCGAACAGGAUUAGAUACCCUCGUACU
rnacentral:rRNA from 1 species